UACAGAGGUCCCGAGCGUUGUUCGGAUUCACUGGGCGUAAAGGGUGCGUAGGUGGUGAGGUAAGUCGGAUGUGAAAUCUCCGGGCUCAACCCGGAAACUGCAUUGGAAACUACCUUGCUGGAGGGUUUGAGGGGGGACUGGAAUUCUCGGUGUAGCAGUGAAAUGCGUAGAGAUCGGCAGGAACAGCCCAGGGGGAAACCAGCCGGACUGGGCAUCGUACUGACGCUGAGGUGCGAGAGCGUGGGGAGCGAACCGG
rnacentral:rRNA from 1 species